rnacentral:rRNA from 1 species
ACCUCAAAUCAGGAAAGAGGACCCCCUGAAUUUAAGCAUAUUAUUAAGGGGAGGAAAAGAAACCAACCAGGAUUCCCUCAGUAACGGCGAGUGAAGCGGGAAAAGCUCAUAAUGUAAAUCUGUGCCUUGGCAUAGAAUUGUAGUCUAUCGAAGCAAAACCAGCUGUGUGAUUGGGUCCAAGUCCCUUGGAACAGGGCAUCAUGGAGGGUGAGAAUCCCGUCUAUGACUCAAUUUCUACGCAGCGUACGGUUUGUUUUCAAAGAGUCGGGUUGCUUGGGACUGCAGCUCAAAGUCUGUGGUAAAUUCCAUAGAAAGCUAAAUACUGGCGAGAGACCGAUAGCGAACAAGUACCGUGAGGGAAAGAUGAAAAGAACUUUGAAAAGAGAGUUAAAAAGUACCUGAAAUCGCUGAAAGGGAAGGGUUUGCAUCCAGUGUUUCCGUUUAGAUGUUUGCCUCUGUUGAAAAAUGGAGGUGUGCAUGUUUGUGGAAAGUCUGUGUGGGUUUGUCCCGGUCCAAACUCUGGCCUGGGAUGGACUGAGGUGCAUAUUUGCGCUCUUGCGUUCCUCGGAACUGCAAAUAAAUGACACAGACAAAAUGGUUGUAAACCGCCCGUCUUGUAACACGGACCAAGGAGUCUAGCAUAUCUGCAAGUGUUUGGGUGUUAAAAACCCGAGCGCGU